GCUUUGGUGGUUCACUAGUAGAAUUUUUGGCUUCCAUUUAGGAGAUCUGGGUUCAAUUUCCAGCCAGUGCU
rnacentral:tRNA from 1 species